GAUGAACGCUGGCGGCGUGCCUAAUACAUGCAAGUCGAGCGAACAGACGAGGAGCUUGCUCCUCUGACGUUAGCGGCGGACGGGUGAGUAACACGUGGAUAACCUACCUGUAAGACUGGGAUAACUUCGGGAAACCGGAGCUAAUACCGGAUAAUAUAUUGAACCGCAUGGUUCAAUAGUGAAAGACGGUUUUGCUGUCACUUAUAGAUGGAUCCGCGCCGCAUUAGCUAGUUGGUAAGGUAGCGGCUUACCAAGGCAACGAUGCGUAGCCGACCUGAGAGGGUGAUCGGCCACACUGGAACUGAGACACGGUCCAGACUCCUACGGGAGGCAGCAGUAGGGAAUCUUCCGCAAUGGGCGAAAGCUUGACGGAGCAACGCCGCGUGAGUGAUGAAGGUCUUCGGAUCGUAAAACUCUGUUAUUAGGGAAGAACAAAUGUGUAAGUAACUAUGCACGUCUUGACGGUACCUAAUCAGAAAGCCACGGCUAACUACGUG
rnacentral:rRNA from 1 species